AACUUUCUUAAUCAUUUCUAGAAGAACAACAUCUUUGUUAUAUACUUGCAGGUGAUUAAUUAACAUGGACAAAGUAGUUGUAUCGGCCGAGAAUCCCCUUUUGUACAUUUCCUCUAAGAAUGACAUGGCCUUGUAAACCUCUUUCCUCUUUAGCAAACCUUGGAUUAUGUUGUUGUAUGUCACGCUAUUCGGUGCACAACCGCUUCUUUCCAUUUUCACAAGCAAAUCUUUUGCCUCGUCUACAAAUCCUUCUUCACAAAGUGAACCAAUAACAAUGGUAUACGCUUGACAAUUUGGUUGCAAACCUUUCGAAGGAAGUUCGUAUAAAAGCUUUUUUGCAUCUUCAAGUUUCCCAUCUUUGCACAAACCACUAAUCAGGAUACCGUAUGUGACUAUAUUAGGACUUACUCCUUUGUCUUCCAUCGUCUUUAGAAACGAAAAUGCUUCGGCAAUCUGACGAGUCUUACACAAGCCUUCCAACAAAACAUUGUAAGUAUGUAAAUUGGGACGUACGUGCCGAGCUUCCAUAUCCUUAAACAAAUUCCAUCCAUCAGCAUUUCGGCCUUCAGUUAAUAAUCCAUGUAUCAUGGUGCUGUACGUAACUGUCGUGUGCUCCAAGCCUUUAGAAGAAGCUUCUAGAAAAAGACGCCAAGCUUCAUCCACUUUACCCUUCUUGCAGUAUCCGUUGAUUAAAGUGCCGUAGCUCAUAAUACAUGGCUUAAGACCAUUGCCCGUUAGAGAAUCAAAUACUUGUUUCGCUUUAUCCAUUUUCCCUUGCAAACAAUACCCAUCUAUCAGUGCAUUAUAUGUGACAAUAUCAGGACUAAUGUUUUGUUGCGUCAUAAUUUUCAAAACAUCUUCAGCCUCUUUAACAUUUCCUUCCUUGCAAAAUGAGUCCACUAAUAUAUUGAAAGUAACAACAGUUAAACAAAUCUUGUGGUUGACCAUUUCAUCCAAUAAGUCUUUGACCUCUUUCCAUCUACCAAAAUCGCACAAGCCCUGAAUCAUCGAGUUAUAUGUGACAACAGUGGGUGAUAUGCCCUUAUCAAUCAUUCUAGACUUCAGCUAGAGUGCGUUAUCUACCGUUCCGGUCUUGCAUAAGCCAUUAAUUACCGCAUUAUAAGCUUUAACAUUGGGCUUAUAGAUACUCUUUUCCAAUAACAAAAGCAAAUCAUGGGCAACAAGAACAUGUCCAGCUUUGCAGAGCCCAUCUAUCACAGUAAGAAUCGUAACAUCGUUUGGCUCGGCGCAAAGUUUCAAAGUCAAAAGCUGCUUAAACAAUUUCUCCGCCUCGGCCACCUUACCAUCUAAAAAGAGCCCUUUUAGUAGAGUGUUGAAUGUCACAACAUUUGCAUUGUAGCCCUGUUUAAAGAAGAUGCCGAACACAGCAAAACCAACGUCUACGCGUUUCAAAAGGCAACAGCAAUUAAUUAAGAUGGCCAUUGUGUACUCAUUUACAGGGGCAGCCCAUUGACGCAUUUCAUCGAACAGUUGAAGGGCAACCGAGUAUUGUUUCAUCUUUACAAUAACUUGCAAUUGUUUGGUGAAUUCAAAAACGGGGGGCUGCGGCCGCAUUCUCACCAUUUUGCGAAAGAAGAAAAUGGCGUCAUCUACUUCACUUGCACAGCUCAAAUCUCUUGGCUAUGAAAAUUUAAAGAAAAGAAAGAGAAUACCAUAAUUAGGAGAAGAUUUAGCAGAAAUUGCUCUACGAAUAGGAGGCGCUAUUGCAGAAAUUCUCAUCUUCUUAAAGCGAUUUUUGUGAAGAAAAUUCUACUGCAGUGCAAAAUGAAGUUGCACAAAGGUGCAGUCUGUUGUUUAAUGGUUAUAAAUUAUAAUUGACUAAUUACAUCUAGACCCCUUCAAAAUAGUAUAAUUACAAAGAAAUUUUAUUGACUCUAAAUUUUGCAACUAUCAUUAUGCAUUUAACUUCUCUCUAAGUUUGUUUUAAUAAAAGGGUUUAUUGCAAUUAGUACCCAUGUCUGUAUUAUUUAUGAUUCAAAUUUUGUUAGCACACAAGUACAAACCCUGACCGGGAGUUAGAGGGGUACUAACUGCAAAAAAAAAACUAAAUCAUGGGGUGUUUUGCGAAUAAAAUAACAUGGGAUAGUUUUUUUAGCAAUUGGAUGUAACUGGGAAAAUUACAUUUUACGUCGUCAUACUUUACCCACUUUUUCAAAACUGUCCCUAAACAUUUUGGAGUUACAAUAGUAGUCCUUAAUCAUGCCAAUUUUUGACAUAAUUGGUCCGCCGUUUAUUUUGCAGUUUAGUUGGAUGGAAAAUGGCAUGUGCCUCUCACAUGCCUUCAAUAUACAACACUACAUGAAAAUUGACUUUUAACAAAACGCAUUGCGUCUUGUUAAAACAAAUUUUUCAUAAUUAAAACUUGAUUGAAAUUCAUAAUUACAUAAAUUCCAAGAAAACAAAAUCGAUAUAUAUUGUUUUAAAAUAUUUUGAGAAAUAUUCUUUAAACAAUUGAAACAUUGUUUUAAAAAAAAUGAAAUAUUGCUUUCAAAAUCAAGAUUUUCGGAAUUUAAAGGAAAACAUUGUUUCAAAAUAAAAUAAAAUUUCGAUCCGAAUAGGUGGGAUAAGAAACCCCCAUUUCAAUCUUCACCCUAAUUUAAUAAUUUAAAACUCGAUAAAUUGUUUCAAAAUAUUUUUAGAAGUAUUGUCUAAAAUAAUAAUAUAAUGUUUUAAAACCGGGAUUUCUUGAAUCCAAAUGAAAAUUAUUGUUUUAGAUAAAAUAAAAAUCUGAUCGUAUAAGGCGAAGUAAGAAAACUCAGUUCCAAUUUUCACACUUAUUUAAUAAUCUAAAACUGGAUAUUUUUUUCAAAAUAAAUUAAGAAAUAUUGUUUAAAAAAUCAUAAUAUUGUCUAAAAAAUAAUAUCGUGUUUUAAAAUCGGAAUUUUUGGAAAUUGAAUGAAAAUAUUAUUUUAAAAUAAAAUAAAAAUUCGAUCAAAUUAGGCAGCAUAAGAAAACUCCUUUCCAAUUUUCACCCAUAUUGAAUGAUUUAAAACUCGACAUAUUGUCACACAAUUGGAAUUUUUGGAAUUGACUAGAGGUGAAAAUUGGAAUGGAGAUUUCUAAUUCCCCAAUUCCUAUCGGGUUUUUUAAUUUGGCUUGAAACGAUAUAUUUUAAUUGAAUUCCAAAAAUGCAGAUUUUGGAACAAUAUUUUAAAAAUUUAAACUAUAUUUUGAUUUUUUAAACAAUAUUUCCGAAACGAGUUGAUUUUUUUGGAAUUUACGUGAUUUCGAUUUCUAUAUUAAAUUUUAAUUAAAAAUAAUAAUUAUAAAAACUAUGUUUUAACAAGACGCAAUGCGUUUUGUUGAAAGUCCAUUUUCAUGUAGUGUUGUAAAUUGAAGGCACGUGAGAGGCACGUGUCAUUUUUCAUCCAACUUAACUGCAAAAAUUAACGCCGGACCAAUUCUGUCAAAAAAUGGCAUGAUUAAGGACAAGGACUACUAUUGUAACUCCAAAAUGUGUAGGGACAGUUUUGAAAAAGUGGGAAAAGUAUGAGGACGAAAAAUGUAAUUUUCCUGGAUGUAACACAAGAGUACUAAUUGCAUUAAACUUCUAAUAAGGGUAAAAGAUAGCUUGAUGGAAAACAAAUUUGGUUAAGCUACUAGCAACACAGUAAAGGGGGAGAACUAUUAUGAGCACAAACACUUCGCACAUUUUCUUGAUGUCAAGAGUUUUUAUGAUCCAACAAGGCAAGCCCAUUACUUAACCCAAGAAAACAUCGCAUUUUGGGAACACAUAUAUAAAUUAGGAUGUAUAUGCCAAAUUUCCAUAUCAUAACAAAGUUUGAAUUUGUUAUCAACUUCUGAAAAUAUUGACAUUUUGUCAAAAGGGUUAAUUCCGCCCCCUAAAUUCUUUCUUUCUAAUAGGCAAAAAGACUAUGAUGCCCCUUACAUACAAUUUUUGCCCUAAAUGCAUUCAACAUUUCCACCAAGUGCAUUUAGCAUUUUUGUUUUAUUUUUUAAUAAAUUUUUUAUUUAAAAAUAAUAAAAUAUACAUUUUAUUUUCUUAAAAAAAAAUCUGAUUUUUUUUCCCGAAAAGUUUACAUACUAUUUCGAAUAUGAUUAUAGUCAACUAUAGUCAUAUCCUUGCUUCAUAUAUCGUUUUUUAUAUUUUCAACUUAAAAUUGUAUAUUCUCGAUUAUAUAAUGUAGCUCAGUCAUAUUAAACAAAUUAUAAAAAAAAAGACUAUUAUUUAUGAAAUAAUCAAUCAAAAAAAAAAAAAAAAAAAAAAAAAAAAAAUCAUAAUUUGAAUCUUGUUAUUACAAGUCAACUUGUAUUCCCACAAUAUGUAUCCAAUCUGAAAUGCUAAAUCUCACACUAUUUUUACUAAAUCAUGCACAUAACUAAAAAUAUUUAUCUCUCUAAAAUCUUCUCUUCGCCUUCCUCAUCCUUCUUUUUCCAUAACUUUUUCACAAAAUCACACACUAAAAACAUUCUUAGAAUUCCAAGUUCGAAUUUGAAAAAAAAAUUCACAUGUUCAAACUAAAAUAAAGUUGGAAUUUGAGAAAAAAAAAAUCGAAUUCAUACGAAUUUGAAUAAUUAAAAAUAUUUAAUGAAAUUGAAUAAAUAUUAAAUAAAAUGGAACUCAUUUUUUAUGAUUAUUCACGUAAAAAAUAAUGAAUUUUGAGUGACUUGGAUAAAGUCAUUUUAGAGAGAAGUUAGAAAAAAAUUGAGUAGAGAGAGAUUUUUUUUUUAAUUUAUGUGUGGGAUAUAGUAAAUUUUAGUGUAGAAUUUAGCAUGGCCCAUUCAAGAUUCACAUGUGUAAAAUUUUCAACUAAAACAACCGUCAGCAUAUCUUAUAUAUAACUAUACAUGACUUUAUAUAUAACUAUACAUGACUACAUAGUUGAUUCUCUCUAAUUGGCAUGUUGUUAUCCAUGUUCUUCAACAUAAAAUUUUUAUUGCUGCAACUAAAUUUUACACCAGAAAACACCAAAAAACAGACUAAGAUCGAGAGGAGAUAGACGAAUAGGGAGAAAGAUACUUUAACCUCAUAAUUUGGCGGCGGCGGAGGACUCAAAAUGAUUGAUCAAACCACAACCACACAAAAAUCUAAAAAAAUGAAAAAGUACCCAAAAAAUUAAUAUACCCUUACUUUGGUCUCCGAUCUCGCGGCGGCGGCAAAAACUCAACAACGUCUUCCCUGACUUUGGCCUCUAAUCUCACGGCGACAGAGACAGAGGACUCCACAAAUUCCGAGGAGCGGCACUAGACGGAGGGGGAGCGGCGCUUAAAGGGUGGAGGGUUUGUGAGUUAACCUGUUUCAACACAUUGAAGAUGUCGAUCUUGUACGUCUCCACGUUCUUCUUUGUCCUCUUCUUCUUCUCUCCGCCGACGACCACCUUCUUUUCUGCCUUGGGAGCCAUUUUUUGUCGCUGAAAUUUGACGAGAAAGAGUUAGAGAGAGAGAGAUGAAGAGAUGUAACGGCGUGAGGAAGAGGAAGAGAGAAGGUUACGGGUUAGGGCAUUUCAAGCUAAAGGGCAAAACAGGUACAGUUACCCAGUUGGGAGGUCUCACAAAUUAACGUCAAAAUUUGGUUUUUUUUACUAGGACGAAAAAAAUUAUUGGACCUCCUCGUAUAUAUUUUCAAAACUAACGGUAUCACUCAUUUACCCCUUAAGAAUAUCUAUUAGAGAAUCCAUAGAAAGAAAAGAAAUAAAUGACUAUACAAAGUUCAAUUAUCCAUAUGUUUGAUAAAUGAAUCCUUAAGCACACAUCAAAAUUUUUCUCUUCUUUCUAGUCAAAAUACCGACGGCUUGUUAUCUUUCCUACGCCACUCAUCCACCGAAAACCGACGGAUUGCGACAACCGAAAAACUCACAAGUCAGAAGUACAUAUACAGAUGUUGUAUACCUGCAAAAAUAAUAAAUAAGCAAAACCUUAUUAAAUUUCAGAAGCCCAAAUAAUUAAUUUAGAUUUUUGGCACAACUUUCUUCAUCAUCUCCAGAAGAAUAUCGUCUUUGUUUGAUCCUUGCACGUGAUUAAUUAACAAGGAUGAAGUAGAUGCGUCGGCAUAGAAUCCCCUUUUGUGCAUGUCCUCUAAGAACGGGAUUGCCUUGUAAACCUCUUUCUUCUUUAGCAAACCCUGAAUUAUGUUGUUAUACAUCACACUAUCCGGUGCACACCCACUCCUCUCCAUUUGCACAAGCAAAUCUUUUGCCUUGUCUACAGACCCUUCUCGGCAAAGUGAACCAAGAAUAACGGUAUAUAUUUUAAUAUUAGGUUGCAAACCUUUGGAAGGAAGUUCGUUUAAAAGUUUUUUUGCAUCUUCAAUUUCCCCAUCUUUGCACAAACCAUUAAUCAGGAUACCGUAUGUGAAUAUAUUAGGAUUUAAACCUUUAUUUUCCAUCACCCGUAGAAACGAAAAUGCUUCGGCAAUUUGAUGAGUCUUGCACAAGCCUUCCAACAAAAUAUUGCAAGUAAAUAAAUCAGGAUGUACUUGUCGAGUUUCCAUAUCAUUGAAAAGUUUCCAUGCAUCAACAAUUCUUUCUUCACCAAGUAAUCCAUGUAUCAUGCUGUUAUAAGUAACUGUCGUGUGUUCUAAGCCUUUAGAAGAAGCUUCCAGAAAAAGACGCCAAGCUUCAUCCACUUUACCCUUCUUGCAAUACCCGUUGAUUAAAGAGUUAUAGGUGACAAUGCAUGGCUUAAGGCCGUUACCCGUUAUGGAAUAAAAAACUUGUUUCGCUUUAUCCAUUUUCCCUUGCAAACAAUAUCCAUCUAUCAGUGCAGUGUAAGUGAAAAUAUCAGGACUAAUGUUUUGUUGCUUCAUAAUUUCCAAAAUAUCUUCAGCUUCCUUAACACUUCCUUCCUUGCAAAAUGAGUCCACUAAUAUAUUGAAAGUAACAACAGUUAAACAAAUCUUGUGGUUGACCAUUUCAUCUAACAAGUGUUUCACCUCUUUCCAUCUACCAAAAUCGCACAAGCCCUGAAUCAUCGAGCUAUAUGUGAUAACGUCAGGUGAAAUGCCCUUAUCAAUCAUUCUAGACUUGAGCUCGAGUGCAUUAUCCACCAUUCCGGUCUUGCAUAAGCCAUUAAUUACCGCGUUAUAAGCCUUAACAUCGGGUUUAUAGAUAGUAGUUUUUUCCAACAACAAAAGCAAAUCACGGGCAGUAUGAACACGUCCAGCUUUGCAGAGCCCAUCAAUCGCAGUUAGAAUCGUAACAUCGUCUGGCUCACAAAGAUUCAAAGUCAAGAUCUUCUUGAACAAUUUCUCUGCCUCGGCCACAUUACCAUCUGAAAAGAAUCCUUUUAGGAGAGUGUUGAAUGUCGUAACAUCUGGCUCGUAACCGUGUUUAAGGAAGAUGCCGAAGAUAGCAAAACCAACGUCUAUGCGUUUCAAAAGGCAACAGCAAUUAAUCAAGAUGUUCAUGGUGUACUCGUUCAUAGGGGCAGCCGAUUGACGCAUUUCGUCGAACAGUUUAAGGGCAACCGAGUAUUGUUUCAUCUUGACAAUAACUUGCAGUAGUUUGGUGAAUUCAACAACGGAAGGCUGUGGCUGCAUUCUUACCAUUUGACGAAACAAGAAAAAAGCAUCGUCUAAUUCAUUUAUACAACUCAAAUCUAUUCUGGGCUUAGGUGAAAAGGAUCGAUCUUUGUGAAAAUUUGAACAGAAGAAAGAAAAGGGAUAAGUAAAAAUAGCGCAAUGGUGGGAAGAUUUAGCAAAUAAUGCUCUACGAAUUAGCAUUUCAGUUCCUCUCAUUUUUUUCAGCAAUUUCAGUGAAGAACGAACUGGUACCUACACAAGAAGAAGGCUCGGAGACUACCGAAUUUUUUUUAUUUGUUUUUUUUUAAUGUUAUUUAAGGGCAAAUUGCAUUGUAUCCCUAUCUUUUCUAAUGGCGGCGGUUAUACGCAAGCCCUUAAUACUAAUUUACCCUUAAUGAAAUUUAAAAUCAAAUAAAAAACACAAAACAUUAAAAAAUAAAAAAAAAUCAUUUCUUUUGUGCAAGACCAAAUAAAAUACAUACUUAAAAAUAUCCUCCUCCUUCUUCUCCUUCUUCACAAACCCACCAAGAAAUCCUAUACACCAAAAUUAUCAAAUACAUACCAAACAUUCACGAUGGAACCAGAAACAAUGAUAUGGUAGUUUACGAGGGUGAAGAACACAAUGAAGUAUGUUUUAACCGUUUAUUUUUGUUUUUGGGUCGUUUUUUUAUUUUGUUGGAAAAAAAACUCGACGAUACCAAAAAUCGGUCUGCAAAUACCGAUUUUUGUUACUAAAAUCGGUAACCACAUUCCGAUUAUUUUAAUAAAAAUCGGUACUUCAAAACCGAUUUUUGUAGUAAAAAUCGGCAUGACAACACCGAUUUAUUUUUGUAUUAUCGGUGUUGUCAUGCCGACUUGUACUACAAAAAUCGGUUUUUAAGUACCGAUUUUAUUAUCUGUGUUUUUUAAGACCGUUUUCUCAUACUUUCGUGCAACAACCUAGGGGAUUGAUAGAGGACUAUUCAAAUGAAUUAUCUAACGAAUAAAUAUUUGAGACACGGAAAGCUCUACUCGGUUGGGUUAAAGGAGUUGGUAGACGCCACCGAAUGGUGAUCAACAUUUUCGUUUCAAAUUUUUAAAAAAUAUCAAUUAACCAAAUAUAUAAUGUAUUAUUUAAAAAAAAUCCGAAAAAUAUCGGUAUUCGAAAACCGAUUUUGUACUCAAUAAUCGAUAUUAGAACGCCGAUUUUGAGUUGUAAAGUCGACGUUGUGUCGCCGAUUUGGUUAACAAAAAUCGGCAUUAUGACGCCGAUUUUCGUGUACAAAAUCAGUCUGGGUAAACCGAUUUGGGAAACCAACGGAAAAAAAAAAACCAAUUUCAAUCUCAAUUUUUUUUCCAAAAUCGGCCAAAUCAUUGCAACCCAACAAGAAAUAAGCAUAGAUUAAUGUUCAUUCAUACAUAUUUAUCAAGAAUCGAUAUUCGAUUAAUGUUUUCGAAUUUACAAAAAAAAAUUAGUAAAAAGGACAUCGAUACUCGAUUAAUGUUUUCGAAUUUACAAACAAAAGUUUAGUAAAAAGAACUCGCCGGUCGGCGUCGCGGCGGUCUGGCGGCGGCAGUCGUGAUAUUUUUUUUUGUUUUGUUUUUAGUUUUUUUUUUUUUUUUUUGAUUUUUGGUCUUGAACAAAUUAAAAAUAGGAUUUAUUUGUAUUUGAGUAUUAUUUGUGGAUAAGGGUAUAUUUGUCAUCUUUGGUCUUGAUGAAAUAAAAUUAGAUUAAUUUACGGGCUUGAACUAAUAAACUCCUUUAUGUGGUUUUGAAGUAAUAAAAAAAUGGGCUUGCAUGUAACCGCCGCCUUUUCUAAUUUCCGCACUUUCCCCUCAAAAUUAAAAAACAAAAGGACAAAUUUCUAGUUUUCGACACUUUACCCCUAAUGUUUUUAAAAGUGAAUGCCCCCUUCAAAAUGUUAUUCUUGUUGUACAUUGCCUCGAUGGCAGAACUCCGAUGGAUUAUUCAUCGUAAUUGAGUAUUUUUGUUGCACAUUGCCCCGAUAGCGAAACUCCGAUGGAUUAUUCAUCGGAAUUGAGUAUUUUUGUUGCACAUUGCCCCAUAAAAACAAUGCUUUUUUUUCACGUUGUCCAUUAAAAAUAUUAUUUUUGUUGCACAAUGCCCUAAAAGAAUUGGCUUCUGCGGCAAAGCGCAACCAAUAUAAUAUUUCAAGGGGGGUGUAUCCUUUUUUUAAUUUUUAGGGGCGAAAGUGCGGAAAUGAGAAAUUAUAGGGGGUGAAGUGCAUUUUGUCCAAAAACAAAAUCUUUGAGAGCCAUCUUGUCUCCGUGGGGCCCUACAAAAGCAAAACAUAUUACACCAUUGCUCUUGGAAGAGAGCCACCAGAGAAAUAAAUACCGUCGCUCCUCGCUUUGAAACAAUAUAUACCAUUGGUACACGUACAUGUCGUCCUUCAAAUGGGGCGUAAAUGCAUCAAAAGAUUCCACAUUCGCCACCAAAGAUGACAGAAGUAUAAAGUAUUCUUCAGUAAUAGUCUCGCAAAAUUUUCAAUUAAAGUAAUAAGGGUAAAUUCCACUUUACCCCCUUGUACUCUGCCCAAGAACCACUUUACCCCCUCGUACUCUUAAGGGUUGUAUUGGGAAAUUGUACAAGUACAAGGGGGUAAAUCGAUAAAAUUGAGAGUACGAGGGGGUAAAGUGACUCUCAGGCAGAGUACGAGGGGGUAAAGUGGAAUUUACCCAAGUAAUAAUUUGUAUCAAAGUAGUAAGUUCCUAAAUUGUUAUCUUAGAUGCGCAAUGCGAUCUCAUUCUGGGCAAUGGCAUCUUAUUGACGACGUGAACCUCGUAUUGCUUAGAAAGAAGGCAAAACCAUAUGUGUUGUUGAAUUAGGGUAGCUUCACCACAUAACCUCGCAUUUGACCCCCAUGUGGUUACAAGCUUUUGCAGAUGAUCCCAUUGCUCUCGUUAUAUCAGCACAUAACCCUCUUGUGUUUGAUAGGGGUAACUUCCGUUAGUUUUUCCGUUAAAAUUAAGUGCGCGUGUCAAACGUCAAAAUAUUAUAUUUUGCAGAUGACUCCCUUGUGCUUACACUUUCACUUUAAUUUUCUGCUGAUGACCCCCUUGAAGUUUGACACGCGCGGUUAAGUUUGACGGAAAAGCAAACGGACGCUACAUCUAUCAACCACAAGGGGGUUAUGUGCUGAUAUUAAAAGCAUAAGGUGGUCAUCUGCAAAAGCUUGUAACCAUAGAGAGGUUAAAUACUAUUUACCCAUCUUUUUAUGAUAAUUAUGUUUCGAUUUAUUGUUUUUGUCUGUAGCCGUUAGCUCCAAUAUGCGAUCUUUGCGGGAUCCAAAAGCCCACGGGUGAAAAGACGAACACUGCAAUUUUGGUCAUGUAGUUUUUGUACUUUAGAAAAUGAUGUGAAGAUGGAUAAAUGUGUUGCAUGUGAAGCCUGGAAAUAUUCUUAAGGUGCACAUUAGCUUUUCAGCACUGUAAAAGUAAAUUCGAUACUUUCUCUGCAAUUUCUUUUAAAACUAUAUAUUAGUUUAGAAAAAAAAUAAAAUAACUGAUUAUGUCAUUUGAGCGCUGUUUUACAAUGGUCGUUUAAUUAUGACCGUUGAUCUGCAACAAUCGUGAAAUGGUCAUAUUGGUUCGAGUUUUGGUGAACCCUUAUCUCAAUUUUUUUGGUAACAUCGAUCUAAUAAACUUGAAUUUCAUUAAACUAAAUCAAGAAACCAACACUCAUGAUUCACAAAAUUACAUAAUAGCCCUAGUUAGAGCCUAAGCCACCAAUUUCAACAGUUAGUAGUCAUUUCCCGACAAAUUUCAGUUAAAACUAACGGAAUCAAUAAAGAUCGUUACAUCGAUUAGGAAAAUCAAUUCUUAUAAGAAUAAGACAUCCAAGAUUAUUACAGACAUAUAUAAUUACAAACAUAUUUCGUAAAUAGUAAAAUAAAAUCUACAACCCCUAAUUUAAGUACACUCCAUAUAUGGAUGGAUUCAACAAGACGAAAAGUCGAAUAUUUCUAACCAAGCAAAACUAAAGCAUAACCACGUCUAAUUCAGUCUUUGAUGAUAGGAAAACAAAAUAUAGUAACCAAGCAAAACUAAAGCAUAACCACGUCUAAUUUCCUAUUUUUCCCUCACGGGAAUUUUUUUGUGGCCAAUAGAUGCUCCAGCUUAAUAUCAUAUCUUCAAAUACAAGCAGUGCCUCAACCAUCUCUGUCUACAAAAAGAAGAAGAAAUAUAUCGUUUUUAGUUAAGGAAAUAAAUAAUUCAAAACUAAAUGCAUAGUACUUUUAAAAAAAAAUUGUAUUAAUUAUUAGGGCAAAUUACGGCAACCCCCUAGGUAUGGCCAAAUUACGAAAAAACCCUAUUGAUUGGGUAAUUACGGCCACACCCUCCUUUUAAAUAUUUUUACGUAAAAUUUAUGUAAUUCGGUUAUUUACCGAACCAAAUCGUAUAUUAAGUUCGGUAAACGGUAUGAAAUGUUGGCGUACCGAAAUUGCAGUUCGGUUUUACCUAUUUAAUAUCCCCAAAUUUACCCACCAUAAGGGUAGGUGUAAGAAGAAAACAAACGUCGGGAAAUUUUGGUAAUUACGAAUAGGUGGGGAUGUUUUUCAUAAUUCAGGCUCAGUUCAGGGGGCUUUCAGUAAUUUUCCCAAUAAAGAAAUGUAAACACCACAAACUAAGAUGAUAAGGCUCAACGUAACUUCAAUAAAAUAUAUAAAUUAAAGUUUUAUAGUUACUAUCAAUCAGUUACAAAAAUAGGGCAAAUUGCACAUCACCCCCUAAAAAUUCUAAUUUUCGCACUUUAACCCCUCAGAAUUUUAAAAAAUGAAUGCCCCCUUCAAAAUGUUUUGUUGUUGCACAUUACCUCGAUAGCAAAAUUUCGAUGGAUUAUUCAUCGGCAUUUGAUAUUUUUGUUGCACAUUGCCCCUUUAUAUGUUAUUUUUAUUCCACGUUACCCCUUAAAAACACUAUCUUUUUGCACAUUGCUCUUUUAAAAUGUUAUUUUUGUGGACAAUGCCCAACAAAAAUUAGUCUUCUGGACAAAGUGCAAUCAAAAUAAUAUUUUGAAGGGGAAUUAUCCAGUUUUUGAAUUUUUAGGUGGGAAAGUGUUAAGUGUAUAUUUUUACACUUUAUCGUAUCUUCUUAUUUGAGCUUUUGGCGUGUUUUAACGAUAAUUGGUGCUUAAAAAGUUGAUUUAUUGUAUUUCAGGUAUAAAUUGAAGAAUUGGAAAAGUAUGGGGUCAAAACUGCAAUUUUGGAGAAAAUAUGGGCCAAAAGUGAAAAAACCAAAAUCUGGAGAUUUAAAGCUCGGACGGCCGUCCGAGUUUUAGUUCAAAUUAUGGGACGGCCGUCCGAGACCCCGAAACAGCGCAGUAAAGGGAUUUUAAUUGCACAAGGAAACUGCCUUCUUCCCCAAGUUCUUCACCCUAUAUAAGACCAAGCCAAGCACACAAUUUAGGAUCUAUCUUUUUACGCAAAAUCAAAAGCAAAGAAGAUCAACGAAGAUUCAAGCAUAGUUUUUCUUAUUUAAUUUAUUUAUUUUAUUUUAUUUAUCAUAAGAAUUACGAGUAGCUAAGUCUUUAUUUCUAGGAUUUUAUUUGGAACCCUAUGUGGGAUUUAUGAACCCUUUUCUAUGAUUUUAUGCAAGCUUUAAAUCCGGAUUAUUUCUUCUACUUGUAUUAUUAAGUGCAUGAACUUGAUCAACUUAUGUGCUUUUAGGUUAUUGUUAAUCGCAUGAAUCGGAAGAUCGGGUUAAUAAUUAGAACUGUGGUAGAAGAGCCUUUGUGGUAUUAACAUAGGAAUAUAGUUAAUCUCUUAGGUAGCCAUUAUUGAGAUUUGUGCUUAAUGCUUUGUUCUAGAAUUAAUUGCAUAGGAAUAUAGUAAUUGAAUCUAGAGUAUUAGAAUCGUAAUACACGCGGAAGCGGGUUAUGAUUAUUUUAGCAUCUCAGGUUAAUAAUCCGGGUUAAUUGCUUGCAUAAUUGAAGGAAUUGGGGGAGUAAUAAUCACAUAGGGGGAAGGAUAAAAUCCUAGGCUUGUUUACUCUGAUAAAUCUUCGUUUUAAUUGCUUUCUUGUUUUUGUCUUUUUAAUUGAUUUAGUUUAAUUUAGUUUAUUAAUCAUCUUUCGACUAUGUAGGGUGGGCUUGAUAAUAAUUGGUAGAAUUUAGCGUCUAGGAUUAGAUAAUUAAAUAUUCCCUGUGGGUUCGAUAUCCGGACUUUUAGUCCACUAUAUUACUUGUACGAUACGUGCACUUGCGUGUAGGUUUUCGGCCAACAAGUUUUUGGCGCCGUUGCCGGGGAAUAUUUUAAUUAUUUAUUUUAUUCUAGCUCUAGAUUUGAACAAUUUUCACGAUUCACCCAUUUAAUUUUUUGUUUUAGGUACGGUGUAUGCCUAGGAGACUCGAUCUUGCUAGAGAACCGUUUGAUCCCGAAAUCGAACGCACUUUUCGAGCCGCCAGGAGACGUCAACACGCAACCAAUACAAUGGAGGACGAAGAACGCAUACGCGCAGAGGGUAAUUUAAUCAAUGCCAAUGGAAACCAAGUCCAAGACCCACCUCCUCAACUUCUAGUACAGCCAGCAGUUAGGCCACGGGCACUUCAAGACUACAUAAUCCCGACUCAUGACGGAUUCCGCCCGAGCAUCCAAUAUCCACCUAUUGAGGCGCACAAUUUUGAGAUCAAGCAAGGCCUCUUGACGAUGCUCCAAAAUAACGGGUUAUUUAGUGGAUUGGCAGGUGAAGAUCCCCAUCUUCACAUUGUCAAUUUUCUAGAUACCUGUAACUCCCACCGUCAAAACGGCGUUUCCCACGAGGCGCUUCAAUUAAUUCUCUUCAAGCACUCCUUACAAGGAAGAGCUCGCCAGUGGUUGAUGUCCCAAGCCCCCCACUCUAUCUCGUCGUGGCCUCAACUCCUCAACCUCUUCAUGAAAGUUUACAGCUCACCCGAGAAGGACGAGAGAAUCCGACGAGAAAUUCACAAUUUUGUCCAAGAGCAAGGCGAGCAAUUAUACGAGGCAUGGGAGAGAUUUAAAACUCUUUUGAGGCAGUGUCCAACACAUGGAGUCGAACAAUGGCGGCAAAUCCACAUCUUCUACCAAGGGAUCAACGAGAAUGCACGAACCGUCUUAGAUGCAUCAACCGGAGGAAAUUUCAUGAGUCAAUCGAUACCGGAUGCAUUUAUCAUGUUGGAUCAAAUUGCACAAAAUCGGUUUGCGAAGUCAAGCGAGAGGACAGUUAGUGGAGCCAAGAAAGUUCCCGGAGUGUUGGAGUUAGAUGCAAUUACGGCCCUUCAAGCUCAAGUGAGCCAAAUUGCUCAACAAAAUCAACUCCUUCUGCAGCACAUCAAAGCAAGUCCACCACAACAAGUCCAAGCAAUUGCUUAUCCAUGUUGUGAAAUUUGCGGUGGAAAUCACUACACGCUCCAAUGCCAACAAGAUGUGGAGUCGCUCAACUACGUCAACAAUGCGCCUCGCCAAUUCCAAAAUCAAGGGUGGAGAUCACAAGGGCAAUAUGGAGGAAAUCAACAAGGCCAAGGGUAUCAAAGACCUCAAGGUCAAUUCCAAAAUCAAGCCCCUCCUCAACAAAGCUAUCAAGGCAACAAUCCACCGGCCCAAAAAUCAAGCACGGAGGAGAUAUUGGCCCAAUUCAUGACUGCUACCCAAGCCUCGCUGCGGAACUUGGAGAAUCAAUUCGCCCAAUUUGCUUUGAAUCAAGAGAAUCGUCCGGCGGGAGCAUUGCCAUCGAAUACGGAAGAUCCUCGAAAGCAAAAGUUCGAGACGUGCCAAGCUAUCGAUUUCAAGAUCGAGAAAAAGGAAGAAAGUCAAGUCAAGCCGCAAGUCACUGUAGCCGAAUGGGUCGAACCAAUCCCAUAUCCACAAAGAUUGCUAACGAAAAAGAUCGAAGACGAGACGUGCCAAGCAGUCACCUUGAAGAACGGGAAGCAAUUGGAGGAAGCCCCACGAAAAGAGAAGAGAAACACGGUAAUCGAGAAGCCAAAAGUAAAUGAGGAAAAAGAAUCAACUCAUGAAGAGCGACCAUCAACGGUGCCUUCACAAGCCCCUCCAAUUCCUUAUCCUCAAAAGUUUAUAAUGAAGAAGCUCGAUGCCGAAUAUCAAAGAUUUUUGGACAAGUUGAAGGAAAUUCACAUAAAUAUUCCUUUCAUUGAAGUACUUCAAAAGAUGCCAAAGUGGGUGAAGUUCCUCAAGGACCUCGUGAAGAAAAGUAAGAAAUUGCAAGGGAACGAGAUGAUCCAACUCACGGAGCAAAUUAGUGCAAUUCUUACUCGGCCUCUUCCACAAAAACUCGGCGAUCCAGCUAAGUUUACUAUUCCUUGUACUAUAGGAGGUAAAAAUUUUAGAUCGCUCAUUGAUUUAGGCGCUAGCAUUAAUCUUAUGCCGUACUCUACUUUUAAAAAUCUUGGGUUAGGAGAAAUUGAACCGACGGCUAUAACUCUUCAAUUAGCUGAUAGAUCUUUAGUUUACCCAAAAGGUAUUUUAGAGAAUGUGCUAGUGAAAGUCAAUAAAUUUAUCUUCCCUGUCGAUUUCGUGAUACUAGAUAUAGAUGAGGAUAGGGAGAUACCUCUUAUCGUAGGGAGGCCGUUUUUAGCCACGUCGAAGACGCUAAUUGAUUGUGCUAGUGGUGAUCUUACAAUGACUGUGCAUGACCAAACAAUCAAAUUCAAUGUUUUUAGUACUAAUAAAAAUCCAUGUGAUAAUAAUGAUUGUUUUGCUAUUGAGCUUAUGGAUUUUACAAAUAAUGAAAAGUUUGAUGUUUUGAUCUUGGACAAUGGGAAAGAAUCUUUGAGUGCAGGAGAUGAUGGCGGAAACGGGAAUCGGACGGAGCAAGUCUAUUUCAUGGACUCACUUUUAAAUCCUCCGAGAGAAAGUCAUGCGAGUCGAGGUCAUAACGACGAUGAGAAUGCAAGGAAGAUGUUGGCACCCAAAGGCUCGAGCAAGUCACGAGAGAAGGAUGAGUCAAGUUAUUGUGGUCGUAAGGAGAAAAUCAAAAAGGAAUUGCACAAAGGACAAUUGGUGUUAUUGUGCAAAUCCCGUCUUUGGUUAUUUCCAAGGAAGCGCAAAUCAAAGUGGUCGCGGCCGUUUAUUGUCCAAGAAAUUCUUCCUCACGAGGUGGACAAAAUAAAGGAGCGCGAUUCAAAUCAUACGUUCAACGUGAAGCGGAGCCGGCUCAAAUCGUAUUGGGAAGCGAGUGAAGAAUGCCAAGUGACUUCGGUCACUUUUGCUUGAAAAUAAAGAAGCAACGUGCGGCUGAAGACUUUAAACUUAGCGCUUCUCGGGAGGCAACCCGAGCUUUCGUUUUUAUUUUUUUAUGUUAUUUUAAAUUUUUAGUUUUGUUUUUAUUUUAUUUUUCUAAAAAAAAAAAAAAAAAAGUUUCAGGGGCACUAAUAAGAAGUUUUUAUUUUUCAGGGACCUAAUUGAAAUUAUUCACACGGCCGUGCAAGAAAAAGGCAGGAAUCUCACACGGCCGUGUGAGAUUUCGGUGAUGCUACUGCCCAAAAUCGCAAAAGGGCACGGCCGUGCGGAUUUUACACCUAAAUCUCGCACGGCCGUGCGAAAUUUGAAGAGGCUACUGCCCAAUUUUGAGAAAGGGCACGGCCGUGCGGAUUUUUCACCUAAAUUUCGCACGGCCGUGCGGGGAAAAAAAAAAAAAAACAAUUUCCAUAAUUUAACAUCCAACCCCUCUUUCUCUCCCACUUCGAACCCUAACCCCCUCUUUUCAAAAUUUUCGAUUUUCUUGGACCAAUUUCACCGAAAAUUCACCAACUACACACACAUACUACUUAAUCUUGGUGGAUUCUUGUUGAUUUGUGCAGGGAGGAUUCAAGAAAGGCAUUCUCAAAUUAUGAGGAAACGAGGACGUGACGGGUAGGGCACCUCACACGGCGAAAGCACUUCUAAAGGCAAAGGGAAGGGCAAGAAAACCGACGCUUAAACAGGUGUUUUCUAUCCUUAAACUUUGGGCGAAUCACAUUGAGGGCAAUGUGAAUUUUAAGUUUGGGGGUGGUUAACUACUUGUGUUCUUUUAUGUGCGCUUUAUUUGUGUUUUAAUUUUUUGUUUUAAUUUUCAUGCAGUAGGUUUUAUUUGUUUUAUUGCUUUUCUCGUUUUUCCGGAAUAUAAAAAAAAAAAAAAAAAAAUUGCUUGAGUCAAAUGCAUCUAUGAUUUAUGAUGAUGAGAGAUGAUCAAUGUUUGAUGAUGAAAUUGCUUGUUUUAUGUGAUAAGGAUUUGAUGUUUGUUUAGCUUUCGAUUCAACGGGACUUAGAAGUGAAUUAUUGUUAGGAAUCACAUUUUGUGCAGUGCUUUUGUUGAAUGUUUUGUAUUUUAAAUUUGGAAUUAAUUUGUGCUAGAUCAUGCUAUGUUCGGUUUUAAGACUCACCUUAGGAAAUUUAUGAUACGAAGUAUUGAGUAGUAAGUGAUUUGGGAUAUGAUUUGGGCCUUCUUUGAACCGUUUGAGCCUUUCAAGCCGACCUUUUUAUCGAAAUUAUCCUUAGAACCUGAUUUGAAGCUCGGAGAAAAGGUGUUCUUUCUUUUAGCCAAUAUGUAAGGUAGAAUAGGUGGAGAUUCUUGAAAAUUAUCCCGUGGAGUUCGGUCGAAAAAUUUAUAAGGUCCUUCUUCUUCUUCGAAGAAAAAAAAAAGAAAAAAAAAAGAGAUAAAUAUAUAUGCUUCUAUAUAUAUAUAUAUUUCUUCUAAAAAAAAAAAAAAAGAGAGAAAAAAGAAGAAGAAGAGACUAGAAGGGAGAAAUAAGGACUAGUUGUUGAAAUAUUUUUGAAAACUCGAUCCAUUGCCUCAAAAGCAAAAGUGGAGACUGUUGAACUUUUGAAAAUCGAGUUUAUUAAAGUCCGUAGAGGUGAAUUCAUUGUUUCAAACGCCUAUCUUUCAAAUUUUGGCGUAAUCACCUAAAUUCAAGAAGAAUAGCCACACAUACCCAUAUUUUCUACCUCGAACCAAAGAGCCUAACAAUUGAAAGCCACAAAGCCCCAAUGAUCCCAAUAGCUUAAUAUUCGAUAUUAGUAGAGUAGAAUAAUUUGGUGAGUAUUUGGAGUCAAGCAUAUGCAUGUAAGUAUAAAUUUUUUCUAUCUUUAAUUUGCAAAUAUUGGAUGCUUGAAGCAAUUGUAUGAAUUGUGGUUUUUGGUAAUGGUGAGUGACUAAGUGUUGUUGAAUUUUGAGCUUGCGAAUGCCUAAGAAUUGUCAUUAUAAUUACAAGUUCUGAAAACGUGAAGUUGGUUAUUGAUCUAUGUGAUGAGAUGUUAUCGUUGAGUUAUUUGCUUAUUGGUAAAUUUUGCUUGAGGACAAGCAAAAGUUCAAGUUUGGGGGUGUGUUAAGUGUAUAUUUUUACACUUUAUCGUAUCUUCUUAUUUGAGCUUUUGGCGUGUUUUAACGAUAAUUGGUGCUUAAAAAGUUGAUUUAUUGUAUUUCAGGUAUAAAUUGAAGAAUUGGAAAAGUAUGGGGUCAAAACUGCAAUUUUGGAGAAAAUAUGGGCCAAAAGUGAAAAAACCAAAAUCUGGAGAUUUAAAGCUCGGACGGCCGUCCGAGUUUUAGUUCAAAUUAUGGGACGGCCGUCCGAGACCCCGAAACAGCGCAGUAAAGGGAUUUUAAUUGCACAAGGAAACUGCCUUCUUCCCCAAGUUCUUCACCCUAUAUAAGACCAAGCCAAGCACACAAUUUAUGAUCUAUCUUUUUACGCAAAAUCAAAAGCAAAGAAGAUCAACGAAGAUUCAAGCAUAGUUUUUCUUAUUUAAUUUAUUUAUUUUAUUUUAUUUAUCAUAAGAAUUACGAGUAGCUAAGUCUUUAUUUCUAGGAUUUUAUUUGGAACCCUAUGUGGGAUUUAUGAACCCUUUUCUAUGAUUUUAUGCAAGCUUUAAUUCCAGAUUAUUUCUUCUACUUGUAUUAUUAAGUGCAUGAACUUGAUCAACUUAUGUGCUUUUAUGUUAUUGUUAAUCGCAUGAAUCGGAAGAUCGGGUUAAUAAUUAGAACUGUGGUAGAAGAGCCUUUGUGGUAUUAACAUAGGAAUAUAGUUAAUCUCUUAGGUAGCCAUUAUUGAGAUUUGUGCUUAAUGCUGUGUUCUAGAAUUAAUUGCAUAGGAAUAUAGUAAUUGAAUCUAGAGUAUUAGAAUCGUAAUACACGCGGAAGCGGGUUAUGAUUAUUUUAGCAUCUCAGGUUAAUAAUCCGGGUUAAUUGCUUGCAUAAUUGAAGGAAUUGGGGGAGUAAUAAUCACAUAGGGGGAAGAAUAAAAUCCUAGGCUCGUUUACUCUGAUAAAUCUUCGUUUUAAUUGCUUUCUUGUUUUUGUCUUUUUAAUUGAUUUAGUUUAAUUUAGUUUAUUAAUCAUCUUUCGACUGUGUAGGGUGGGCUUGAUAAUAAUUGGUAGAAUUUAGCGUCUAGGAUUAGAUAAUUAAAUAUUCCCUGUGGGUUCGAUAUCCAGACUUUUAGUCCACUAUAUUACUUGUACGAUACGUGCACUUGCGUGUAGGUUUUCGGCCAACAGAAAGUGCGAAAAUGGGAAAUUUGUAGGGGUGAAGUGCAUUUUGUCCUACAAAAUAUACUUUGAAGGAUUAAAAUGCCCGUGCACAAAGGCAAAACUCACAAGUUAGACCAGACCGACCAGCUAGCAAAGCCUUAUCAAAAACCUUAUGACAAGGUAGCAUGUUGGUAAACACCUUGCACCUAGAUCUGUUUGGUCAUGGGUUCGAGACACCAGGAGGGGAAUUGGGGAACCAAUAACUAUUCUUCUUACAAAAAAAAAAAAAAAAAAAAAAAAAAAAAACUAGCAAAACCUUAUCAAAACCUUAUCAAACUUCAGAAGUCCAAAUAUAUAAUUUAUAAUUUCGGCACAACUUUCUUAAUCAUAUCCAGAAGAAACUGAUCCUUGCAAGUGAUUAAUUAACAUGAAUGAAGUAGCUUCAUCGGCUGAGAAUCCCCUUUUGUUCAUUUCCUCUAAGAAUGGCAUUGCCUUGUCAAGUUCUUUCUUCUUCAACAAGCAAUGGAUAAUGACGUUGUAUGUCACGCUAUUCGGUACACAACCGCUUCUCUCCAUUUUUAUAAGCAAAUCUUUUGCCUCGUCGACAAAUCCAUCCUGACAAAGUGAAUCGAUAACAACUGUAUAAGCUUGACAGUUUGGUUGCAAACCUUGGACGGAAGUUCUUUUAAAAGCUUUUUUGCCUCUUCAAGUUUCCCAUCGUUGCACAAACCAUUAAUCAAGAUACCGUAUGUGACUAUAUUAGGAAUUAAUCCUUUGUCUUCCAUCACCCGUAGAAACGAAAAUGCUUCGGCAAUCUGAUGAGUUUUGCACAAACUAUCCAACAAAAUAUUGCAAGUAUGUAAAUCUGGACGUACGUGCCGAGCUUCCAUAUAGUUGAAUAGUUUCCAUCCAUCGGCAAUUCUGCCUUCACUAAAUAAUCCAUGUAUCAUGGUAUUAUAAGUAACUGUCGUGUGUUCUAAGCCUUUCGAAGAAACUUCGAGGAAAAGACGCCAAGCUUCAUCAACUUUACCCUUCUUGCAGUAUCCGUUGAUUAAAGUGCCGUAGCUCAUAAUACAUGGCUUAAGGCAGAAUCAAAUACUUGUUUCGCCUUUUCCAUUUUCCCUUGCAAACAAUACCCAUCCAUCAACGCAUUGUACGUGAAAAUAUCAGGACGAAUAUUUUGUUGCUUCAUAAUUUUCAAAACAUCCUCAGCCUCUUUAAUAUUUCCUUCCUUGCAAAAUGCGUCCACCAAUACAGUAAAAGUAACAACAUCUAACGGAAUCUUGUGAUUCACCAUUUCAUUCAGUAAGUCUUUGACCUCUUUCCAUCUACCAAAAUCGCACAAGCCCUGAAUCAUGGAGUUAUAUGUGACAACGUCAGGUGAAAUGCCCUUAUCAACCAUUCUAGACUUGAGCUCGAGUGCAUUAUCCACCAUUUCAGUCUUGCAUAAGCCAUUAAUUACCGCAUUAUAAGCCUUAACAUUGGGUUUAUAAAUAGUCUUUUCCAAUAAGAAAAGCAAAUCAUGGGCAGCAAGAACAUGUCCAGUUUUGCAGAGCCCAUCUAUCACAGUAAGAAUCGUAACUUCGUUAGGCUCGCAAAUUUUCGAAGUCAAAAGCUUCUUGAACAAUUUCUCCGCCUCGGCCACCUUACCAUUUAAAAAGAGCCCUUUUAGGAGAGCGGUGAAUGUCGUAACAUCUGGCUCGUAACCGUGUUUAAAGAAGACGCCGAAGAUAGCAAAACCAACGUCUACACGUUUCAAAAGGCAACAACAAUUAAUCAAGAUGGUCAUUGUGUACUCAUUUACAGGGGCACCCAGUUCACGCAUUUCGUCGAACAGUUUGAGGGCAACCGAGUAUUGUUUCAAAUUGACAAUAACUUUCAAUUGUUUGGUGAAUUCAAAAAUGGGGGGCUGCGGCCGCAUUCUCACCAUUUUGCGAAACAAGAAAAUAGCUUCAUCUACUUCAUUUGCACAGCUCAAAUCUCUUCGGAGGUUAGGUGAAAAAAGUCUAUCUUUGUGGCGCACGCUAUGAAAAUUUAGCAGAAAUUGCUCUACGAAUAGGAGGCGCUAUUGCAGAAAUUCUCAUCUUCUUAAAUCGAUUUUUGUGAAGAAAAUUCUACUGCAGUGCAAAAUGAAGUUGCACAAAGGUGCAGUCUGUUCUUUAAUGGUUAUAAAUUAUAAUUGACUAAUUACAUCUAGACCCCUUCAAAAUAGUAUAAUUACAAAUAAUUUUCAUUGACUCUAAAUUUUGCAACUAUCAAUAUGCAUUACCUUCCCUCUAAGUUUGUUUUAAUAAAAAGGGUUUAUUGCAAUUAGUACCCGUUUCUGUAUUAUUUAUGAUUCAAAUUUUGUUAGCACACAAGUACAACCCCUGACCGGGAGUUAGAGGGGUACUAACUGCAAAAAAAAAAAACUAAAUCACGGGGUGUUUUCCUUAUUUUAUGUUUUUAUUUAAUUAUUUCAGUACUUGAUUUGUCAGCAGUUUGUUAUAAGGUGCUGUGAAGGAAUGAGAAAGGCAUGAUCAAUUUUCAGAAUUUUAUCUCUCUCUCUCUCGUCUCCUUCUCUCUAUCCUUCUACUCUUCUUAUUCCCAAAUUCUCAUAAACCCUAGUAAUAUCCAAUCUAAAAAUACAAAAAUAUAUCGGAAUUUUACAUUUUACUAAUAAAAUAACACGGGAUAGUUUUUUAGCAAUUGGAUGUAACACCAGAGUACUAAUUGCAUUCAACUCCUAAUAAAAAACCCAAAGGAAAACAUAAUAAGGGUAAAAGAUAGCUUGAUGGAAAAAAAUAAAAAACAGUAGGACAUAAAACAAAUUUGGUUAAGCUACUACCAACACAGUAAAGGGGGAGUGUUAACCACAAAUUUUUCGAGUCUGCAAAAUAUAAUAAAAAUACAAGACAAGAAAAUAGGGAACAAAUAAUUUAUUAAUCAAAACGAUGCGGAUUACAAUCUCAGUAAUUCCCCUGAUUCUUCUCUCCUAUUCUAAUUUUGAUUCAAGGGCUUAAAAGCUUGUUCUUGAAUCGAAGCUAUGAUUUCCUAUCACGAACACCUCGAAUUUAAAUAUGUUAUGAAUUCGAGGAAUUGAACAUAUGAUUUCCUAUCACGAACCUCUCGAAUUCAAAUAUGUUAUGAAUUCGAGGCGGAGGCUCGAGACGUGAGCUUGAGAGCUCGAUAUGUGUCUGUGUGAGUCUGUUUUUUUAGAUGCACCAAAGAUCUUCUUUUAUAGGCACAAGCUAGGGUUAGGGUUUCUCGACUUGCACAGUGGGCCGGACAUUGUAAAGCCCAAAUAUGUUAUGGACUUUAAUUUGAGACCUAAAUUAAUAACCGAUUUAUCUUGGUUAUUAAUUAGUAAUUUAUCUCAAAUUUUCGAUAUCUACAGGGAGAACUAUUAUGAGCACAAACACUUCGCACAUUUUCUUGAUGUCAAGAGUUUUUAUGAUCCAACAAGGCAAGCCCAUUACUUAACCCAAGAAAACAUCGCAUUUUGGGAACACGUUGACUAAUAGGUAUUUCCGGUUUUUAGUUCUACAUUUUAUAAUAUAUUGUUGAUGUUUUAGUUAUAUGUUGCAAUUGUUGAUGACUACGACUAGGGUGGGGAGUGCUCACAGUUCGUCCAAGGGUUGGAUCUACCGGAGCUGUUAACUCCGUGCAAUUUCAGCUUGAUUCGGGGGUUGAGCUUCAACUAACCAGGAUUAAGACGGAUUUUUCAAAAUCCUAUCAGGAAGGACAAAGCAGUGUAUCCAGUUUUUCAAGGUUUGAUACGCAAUGUCACAUAUAAGGCAUUAGAUUUGUUGGAUGAUGAGCUCAGUAAACCAGUUGUACAAGAUUCGGCUAGCUCUACCCACGUUCUUAGUGUUACCCAUGGACUUCCGUGUGCUUACCAAAUUGAGAGAAAAAUCCAGGAACGUGAUACAUUCUGGGUGAAGAUGUGUUGCACAAGUUGUGUACGGAGAUAAUAAAAGAUGGAAUCGAGUGAGAAAUAUGAAUUUCAACUAAUGCUUAGCCAACAAAUGUUAUCGGAGCUCCGAUUUAGUUAACAAAUGUUGAAGUCAACUAAUGCUUAGCCACGCAUAAGGUUGCGUCACAUGGUUAGCUUAAUGUGGUCCACGUCUCUCAUAUGGUUUGCAAGCUAUCAUACGAGAGUGUAGGUUUAUCCAGUGCAUCUAUAUGGUUGGCCGCGGUUUCUUUUUACCAAAAAAAAAAAAAACUAAUGCUUAGCCAGCUAAUCGAAGCUCCGACGAUCCACCGCAAAAGCUAAUGUGUAGUAUGCUAAUUGAUCAGAGCUCCGACUACACUCGAGUUUCCGGAGAAGUUUUGGCCGGAAAUAGUCAAUUUCGUGAUUGGUGCUCCAAAUAAUAGAGUUUGGGGGGCAUCGUGCAACUUUUUUUUUUUAGUCUAGGGGGUAAUGUGCGAAACACACCAAAGUUUGGGGUGCAAAAUGCCAUUAACCCUUUUAAAUAUUUUGUUAGGUACUAACAAUAUUAAAUAACAAUAUAGCCCCCUAUUUAUACAUCUUGUACUAUAUUAGCUCUCUUUUUUUUAUUCUUUUUUUUUAGAAACUCUUUAAUUGUACAAUAUUAAAACUCUUUUUUUUUUAUUCAAAUGUAUCAUAUCAAUUCCCAAUAUAUCAAUAUUUUCUUUAAUUGGCCAUGUAGUGGGUGGUCUAGCGGUUGGAGUAAGAGAACAAGUGUAAAUUAACCCAAGUUCAAAUUUCUUGCCAACUGUUUUUAGGUCGAUAUAAAAUAAAAUAAAACAACUAAUUAAAACAAGGGAUACGUGGCAGCCAAAUCAAUUGAAUAUUAUAUGUAAGGUCAGUCAACUUAAAGAAUAAAUGGUAAAUUAUGAAAAUUCCUUGAACUUAGGCUAAAUUACGAAAACACCCCAUCUAUCCAUAAUAGUAAAAAGAGUUGUGAGUGUGUUAUUUAAGAAGAAUAAAAAUUCCGUGUAAAGGUCCUCAAGGAUAUUUUUUGUUUUUAAAAAGUAGCAUAAAGAAAUGCCACGUCUACAGGGGUAGAAUAGGCAUUUUUCGAAAAUAAUCCCUCGACUCAAAAAGAUUCCAUGAAAAAUCCCACCAUAAGGGGCAGGUGUAAGACGAAAACAAACGUCGGAGAGUUUUAGUAAUUACGAAUAUGUGGGGAUGUUUUUUAUAAUUCAGGCUAAGUUCAGGGGGUUUUUUGUAAUUUACCUAAUAAAGAAACACAAACUCCACAAAAACUAAGAUGAUAUUACAACAAUUAGUCAUGAGGGUAAAAUCGGUAUUUGCUGAGUGAUAGUACAUGAAAUAAAAAAAUCCGUCAAAUUUCACACCGUAAAGGGGAACUUUGUAUGACAACAACAACAAACAUUAGGGGGGUUUCGGUAAUUACAAACAACGUGGAGAUUUUUUUUUCUUAAAUCGACCUUAGUUCUCGCAUAUGAUAAAUCAAUAUGUAAAGCACAACUUCGACGUAUCCAAUUUCACUUUCAUUUUUAUUCCUUUGUUUUGUUUCGUGCGUAGAAAUAAAAAUGCACCGGUAGUCUACUUUUUGACUGUAUGUUUCUCGGUUUUAUUUUUCAAUCAUUACAUAGAUUUUAUACAUCUCUCAACAUCGAGCACACGCACGAAUUGCGUGGGACCCGGUUAGGGAGCAAUUUGGAGCCGGUAGAUCGAUCAAACGCUUGGAUUGCUCUCGAUAAACGUAUUGGUCGCGUCGAAAAGUGACCGUAAGUGGGCCAAACGAGCAAUUUUCACCUCUAGUGUUGGGUCGAUGGUGGCUGAACGAACUUCGCGUGCAUAUGCUGAUCAAACAAAAUAUUUCAAGUAUAUAAAUUAGGAUGUAUAUGCCAAAUUUCCAUAUCAUUAACAAAGUUUGAAUUUGUUAUCAACUUCUGAAAAUAUUGACAUUUUGUCAAAAGGGUUACUUCCGCCCCCUAAAUUUAACAUAGUGAUUUAAGAUUAUGGAUGUGUUGAUAUACACCCAUAAUAUGGAAAAUAUAUAGGGAUAGGUCCACCCCUAAAAUUCUUUCUUUCUAAUAGACAAAAAGACUAUGAUGCCCCUUACAUACAAUUUUUGCCCUAACUGCAUUAACAUUUCCACCAAGUGCAUAUAGCAUUUUCGUUUUAUUUUUUAAUAAUUUUUUUAUUAAAAAUAAUAAAAUAUACAUUUUAUUUUCUUAAAAAUUUCUGAUUUUUUUUCCCGAAAAGUUUACAUACUAUUUCGAAUAUGACUAUAGUCAACUAUAGUCAUAUCCUUUCUUCAUAUAUCGUUUUUUUAUAUUUUCUACUUAAAAUUGUAUAUUCUCAAUUAUAUAAUGUAGCUCAGUCAUAUUAAACAAAUUUUAAAAAAAACUAUUAUUUAUGAAAUAAUCAAUCAACAUUCACAAAUAAACAAAAAAAAAUCAUAAUUUGAAUCUUGUUAUUACAAGUCAACUUUCCACAAUAUGUAUCCAAAAUUCACAUGUGUAAAUUUUUCAACUGAAACAACCAUCAACAUCACUGUACAUUAAAAAAAAGUUACAUAUCUUAUAUAUAACUAUACAUAACUACAUAGUUGAUUCUCUCUAAUUGGCCAGUUGUUACCCAUCUCCUUCAACAUAGAAUUUUUUUGCUGCAACUAAAUUCUACACCAGAAAACACCAAAAAACAUACAGAGAUCGAGAGGAGAUAGAGGAAUAGGGAGAAAGAUACUUUAACCUCAGAAUUUGACGGCGGUGGAUGACUCAAAACGAUUGAUCAAAUCACAAUCACACAAAAAUCUAAACAAAUAAAAAAGUACCCAAAAAAUUAAUAUACCCUUACUUUGGUCUAAGAUCUCGCGGCGGUGGCAAAAACUCAACAACGGCUCCUAUCUAUUCUCUUCCCUGACUUUGGCCUCUAAUCUCACGGCGACGGUGACAGAGGACUCCACAAAUUCCGAGGAGCGGCACUAGACGGAGGGGGGGAGGCGCUUAAAGGGUGGAGGGUUUGUGAGUUAACCUGCUUCAACACAUUGAAGAUGUCGAUCUUUUACAUCUCCACGCUCUUCUUUGUCCUCUUCUUCUUCUCUCCUCCGACGACCACCUUCUUUUCUGCCUUGGGAGCCAUUUUUUGUCGCUGAAAUUUGGCGAGAAAGAGUUAGAGAGAGAAAUGAAGAGGUAGAGAGAAGGAGAGAUGUAACGACGGGAGGAAGAGGAAGAGAGAAGGUUAGGGGUUAGGGCAUUUAUUCAAACUAAAGGGCAAAACACGUACAGUUACCCAGUUGGGAGGUCUCACAAAUUAAGAUCACAAUUUGGUUUUUUUACUAUGACGAAGAAAAUUAUUGGACCUCCUCGUAUAUAUUUUCAAAACUAAUGGUAUCACUCAUUAACCCUUUAGAAUAUCUAUUAGGGAAGCCAUAGAAACAAAAGAAAUAAAUGACUAUAUAAAGUUAAAUUUUCCAUAUGUUUGAUAAAUGAAUAUCUAUUAGGGAAGCACACAUAUCCAAAUUUUUCUCUUCUUUCUAGUCAAAAUACCGACGGCUUGUUAUCUUUCCUACGCCACUAUCCACCCAUAAUAUAAGGAUUGCGACAACCGAAAAACUCACAAGUCAGAAGUACAUAUACAAAAGUUGUAUCUCAGCUACGUUACCUGCAAAAAUAUUAAAUAAGCAAAACCUUAUUAAAUUUGAGAAGCCCAAAUAAUUAAUUUACAUUUUUGGCACAAGUUUCUUCAUCAUUUCCAAAAGAAUAUCGUCUUUGUUUGAUCCUUGCACGUGAUUAAUUAACAAGGAUGAAGUAGAUGCGUCGGCAUAGAAUCACCUUUUGUGCAUGUCCUCUAAGAACGGGAUUGCCUUGGAAACCUCAUUCUUCUUUAGCAAACCUUGAAUUAUGUUGUUGUACAUCACACUAUCCGGUGCACACCCACUCCUCUCCAUUUUCACAAGCAAAUUUUUUGCCUCGUCUACACACCCUUCUCGGCAAAGUGAACCGAUAACAAUGGUAUGCGCUUGACAAUCAGGUUGCAAACCUUUAGAAGGAAGUUCGUUUGAAAGAUUUUUUGCAUCUAUAAUUUCCCCAUCUUUGCACAAACCAUUAAUCAGGAUACCGUAUGUGAUUAUCUUCCAUCACCCGUAGAAAUGAAAAUGCUUCGGCAAUCUGAUGAGUCUUGCACAAGCCAUCCAUUAAAAUAUUGUAAGUGAAUAAACCGGGAUGUACUUGCCGAGCUUCCAUAUCCUUAUAAAGUUUCCAUCCAUCAGCAAAUCUACCUUCAAUAAUCCAUGUAUCAUGGUAUUAUAAGUAACCGUCGUGUGUUCUAAGUCUUUCGAAGAAACUUCGAGAAAAAGACGCCAAGCUUCAUCCACUUUACCCUUCUUGCAAUAUCCGUUUAUUAAAGAGUUAUAGCUGAUAAUACAUGGCGUAAGGCCGUUUAUUCCAAACCCACUCAUCUUCUUCAGCUAUUUUAUGAAGAUAAUUUACUUGGUCAAUGGAAAGUGUGGUAAUUACUUGGUCAAUGGAAAGUGUUGUAAUUACUUAGAGAGUGGCAGUUUCUGUAAUUACUUGGUCAACGGAAAGUGUUGUAAUUACUUUGAGAGUGGCAGUUUCUGUAAUUACUGCUAAAUAAUUAUUUGUUGAGCGUGAGUUCUCUAAUUGUUGCUGAGUGGCAGUUAUGUAUUCAUUUGUUGAGUGUGAGUUCUGUAGUUGCUGCUCAUAAGCAUUUCUUUAAUUAUUUGUUGAGUGGUAGUUUUGUAAUUACUUGGUGAAUGAUUAUUCUGUAAUUAUCUGUUGAAUGCCAGUACUGUAAUUACAUGUCGAAUGGCAGUUCUGUAAUUAAAUGUUGAGUACUAGUUUUGUAAUUAUUGAUGAGUGACAGUUAUGUAAUUACUACCGAGUAGCUGUAAUUACUUGUUGAGUGAAAAUUCUUUAAUAACUUUUGAGUGGCAGUUCUGUAAUUAUUUGGUGAAUGACAAUUCAGUAGUUAUUGGUAAAUGGCAGUUCUUUAAUUAUUUGUUGAGCGACAAUUUUAUAAUUGCUGUUGAGUGAUAGUUAUGUAAUUACAGGGUGCAUGUCACUUCUAUAAUCAUUGAUGAAUUGCAGUUCUGUAAUUAUUUGUUGAGUGGCACUUCUGUAAAUACUUGUUAGUGGCAUUUCCAUAAUUACGAUAUUGAGUGGCAUUUCUGUAAUUACCAAGUGUGUGAACAUUAUGUAAUUACUUGAUGCGUGACAAUUCUGUAAUUACUGUUAAGUGGCAGUGUUGUAAUUACCGGUGAGUAGGAAUUCUUGUACUGUUGAAUGUCAAUUUUGUAAUUAAUGUUGAAUGGCAGUCAUGUAAUUAUUUGUUGAGUGGUAGUUCUAGAAUUACUUGAUGAUUGGCAGUUCUGCAAUUGCUGUUGAGUGGAAAUCAUAUAAUUACUUGGUGCUUAGCAAUUAUGUAAUUACUUGAUGAUCGGCAAUUUCGGAAUUACUAUUAAGCAGUGUUCUAAAAAUCGGCCGAGGCGGCCGAUUAAUCGGUCUCCGAGGCGGAGGCGGUCCAAAACCUUUACGAUUUUAGUGUAAAGGUUUGAAAAAUCGGUUUUUUGCCUGUGAGGCGGUCCGAGGCGGUCAAACCUUUAAGGCGGCAAACUCGGUGGCAAAAAUCGGUUAAAAAUCGGUUUUUUUAUUUUAUUAUUUUUUUUAUAAUUCAAAAGAAAAGUUGGAUUUUAAUAAAAGAAAAUAUGAGUUUAUGCCUUAUUUUGUUUAUGUUAAUUGUUAUUGUUAAAGAACUAAUGAUCUUAUAAUUAUUAAACUUUCAUUAUGUUAUUAGGAUAUAUACAUGAUGGAGAUAUAACUAUGUUUAAAUAUCUUUUUAUAUAUGUUUGGAGUAUUUAUAAAUAAUAUUUAGAAAUAUAUUAUAUUAAAUUUUCAAAACCGAUUUAUUUCCGAUUUAUCACCGAUUAAUCACCGCCGCACCGAUUAAUCGUGAGUCGGUGCCUCACCGACUCGGAUCCGAUUAUCGCUUUUUACAACCUUGCUAUUAAGUGGCAGUUCUGUAAUUACUUGGUGAGUGGUAGUUCUGUACUUACAUGUUGAAUGUCAAUUCUGUAAUUACUUGGUGGGUGGUAGUUAUGUAGUUAUAGUUGAGUUGCAGUGCUGUAAUUAUUAGGUGAGUGACAAUUAUGUAAUUACGGAUAAAUGACAGUUAUGUAAUUAUUGGUUAAAUGACACUUCUAUAUAUACUAUUGAGUGGCAGUUCUAUAAUUACUUGGUGAAUGGUAUUUUUGUAAUUACCUGGUGAGUGGUACUUCCGUAACUAAUGCUUAAUGGGAGUUAUGUUAUUAUUUGUUGAGUUAUUAUUUGUUGAGUGGCAGUUUCUUUAACUACCUGGUGAGUGACAGUUCUGUAAUUACAAUGUUAAGUGACAUUUCCUUAAUUACUUGGUGAAUGGUAAUUCUGUAAUUACUUGGUGCGUGAAAGUUCUCUAAUUAAUGUUCAGUGGUAGUUCUAUAACUAAUCGAUAAGUGGCAAUUCCGUAAUUACCUGCUAGAUGCACUUCUUUAUUUACCUGUUGAGUGGCAAUUAUGUAAUUAUUUGAUAAGUGGUCGUUCUGAUAUUACUAUCGAGUGACACUUUCGUAAUUACUGGUUGAGUGGUAGUUCUGUAAUUACAUGUUGAGUGGUAAUUUUGUAACUAUUUAUAAGUGGUAAUUUUGUAAUUACCUACAAAGUAGUAGGUUUUAAUUACAUAGUGAGUGGCAAUUACGUAAUAAUUCGGAGAGUGACAUUUCUGUAAAUACUACUAUAUGACAGUUCUGUGAUUAUUUGUUGAGUGUAAAAAAAAUAAUUAUUUGAGGAUCAAUUUUGUGCGAGAAAAAGUUGACCAAAACUGUAAUUGUCUCUAGUUAGAUAUGUAUACGAUACUUUUUAGAAAAAAAUACAUAUAAAAUUUUAUAAGCGGUUGCAUUAGAUAAAUGAUACUCUAUAUGUUCUACAAUAACUGUCUAUUUUUAAAUAUAUUUUGUUUUAUAUUAUCUGUCACUUUAGAUUUCCAAUACUACAUUAAUUACUUAAUUUCCAGUUUAUACCCUUAUAAACUCUUUCUAAUACUUCUUUUUUUAAUUCAUUUGUCUCUCUUAUUAAUUAUAAGAUAAGUUCAUUUCUGCCUAAAAGCAUACAUUUUUCAUAAAAUCAAGACACAUUUAAUGGAAUCCUUAAUCCGUGUGCAAAUCUAAAUACGACUAUUAAAAGGGAACUGAGGGAGUACUUUUUAAGGAAACAUAUAUUUUUUAUUUUCUUCCCCAAAAAAUCCAAUCCUUCUUCGAAACUUUCCAAAAGAAUUCCAUAACUUUCCUAAAUAUAGUAAUCACAUGAUUUUCGAAAAUAACCAAAUAACGAAGGGUCAAUUAGGGAGAACACCCCCCCCCCAUUAUUUGUUUGGGUCUUAUGAUAUAGGUCCCUGGUGACAAAACUAAUAAGAACUAAAUGACAAGCCCAACUAAACUUUUGUUUCACAUCCUUUAUUAAAUUCAUUCCAAAAAUGCUCCUCCACAUAUAAAUUCGAAUUUGUUGUAAGCAAAAUUCAAACAACAUUUAUCGUUUUAUUAUACAUUUAAUAUCUUCAUUUUUUCAUCUAAUAAUAUAUUUUAUUUUAUUUUUACCGACGUGGUCAUCUUUAUUUUUUCGUUUUUCACUCUAGCAAUUUUUACUUUAUUAUAAUUAAAUUUUUUUUAACAUUUUAUUGAAAAUUACGGAAAAUAAAUUUUCGGUUUUUGUCCAAUAAUACAGUAGAUUUUAAAAAAUACUAUGGUGCACUAUGGUAUACUAUGGUAUGCUAUGUUAUGGCGGCAUACUACGGUAUACUAUGGUGUACUACUCCGAACUCUAUCAUUCAACAACUUACAACCGCCGCCAAACCCUAACUUCCAACAUCUUCCAACCACCACUAAAUCAUAGCAUCCAACAAAAUUCAGUCGCCGUCAAAUCCUAUCUGCAAAAACCUAGUCGUCCACCGUACCAACCCUAGCCGCCGACCAAAUUAAACCCUAGCCGUUGACCAAUUUAAACCCUAGCCGCCAUAGCCGUUGACCAAAUUCAAACAUAGUUGUCGACCAAAUUAAACCCUAGACGUCGACCAAAUUAAACCCUAGCCGCCAUAGCCAUCGACCAAAUUAAACCCUAGCCGUCAACCAAAUUAAACCCUAGCCGCCAUAGCCGUCGACCAAAUUAAAACCUAGUCGACAUAGCCGCCACCAUCCGCCAUAGAUAUGACCUCCACCACCAUAGUCGUCGACCUCUUGCCUCCAUAAUUAUCCCCUUAUUGUCGCCGCCUCCCUAACUAUGCUACAUCUAAUUAUGUUUUCAACUAGGGACCUCUAGCAUAUUAACCCUUUAUUUGUUUUCAUAGAACUAAACUCACUUUGUUAUUUGUAAUUGAGAGACUCCCUAACUUCUCAUAACUCCAUUUUACUCAUACAUUAUUCCAUAUUUCCACCCAUCUUACCCACUACGUAUGUAUCGUUAUAUUUUCUACUUUUUUUUUUAAUAAAUUCAUCUUUUUGUUUCCUGGAAGAUUUACCGCAUCAUAAACAAUUCAACAAAUCAAAGAAACUCAUUUAACAUGUAUCAACAAAUCAAAGAAACUCCCAUUGGAAUUUUUAUCUUUGGCCCAAAAAUCUGUCAGAGUUGUAGUAAACCCUAGUCGAUUGAGAGCAACGGUAACAUCUGCUACUGCACAUCAUUUACGGUAAUCUCUUUAUUUCUUUCUUGUUCCAAUUUUUAGAGAAAUAUCUAUAUUCCAUUGGAGGUUAUUUACCCAGUGAUAUUUCAAGAGAUCAAAACGAGGAGAACAAAGCAACAAUUUAGUACACUGAGAUUUGAGAGAACAGAAGGUUUGUUUAUUUGUACAAUUUUAUUUUUUUACUUAGGUUGUUUUAUGUAUCAUUUAUGUGCAUAAAAGUAGUAAGAACUUUUACAGGUCUAAUUGCAACUCUAUAUCUGCAACUUAAUUUACUAUUAAGCAAUGGAUUUUUCGUUUUUUUACUGAAAGUUCAUAAUCUUGCAGUUUCGUCGACUCACCCUUUCUUGCAAAUUAGUCUCUCUGUUUCAUGUGGUAUGUUCUUAAAUAGCCUUUAAUAAUUGUUUUAAUUCAACAUUGAAACUAUUGUCAACUAUUCAAAGUUGCUGAGAAUCAGCAAGUAAAUUGAUGAUUGGGAGUUUAUCACUCUGUAGAACAAGGUAAGUAUCAUUUAUCAAGUAGACAAAUGCCUUUCCCGAGCCACACAAUAUAAAAUAAAUAAAAUUGUAAGUUGUUUUUACUAUUAACAUGCUACUAAUAUAGUAUUCUUCAUCAUUUUUCAUAAGAAUGUCACAGGGCAUCAUAUGCUUGAAAUUGAUUGGUGAUGUGGUUUGCUUCUGGACAUGUGCAUAUGCUGGAAAUGUUUACUAUACAGAGACAACAUGCUCCUUAUUGAAGGUUUAUAUUUUUUAUAAAAUUAUCUACCUUAUUUUGAUCAUAUCAAAUUUUAGUUUUGCUUAUUGGUUCUUCUAUGUUUGCAGUCAAGACAAGUGGCCAAAGAUCCAGCCAUAUGUGAAAAUAUACUCUAACAUAUUGCAAGAUUUUCUCAAUUAUAAGCUCUAUUAAUCUUUUUUUUUUCUUCAUAUUAUCUAUUUCUCUAAUAUCUAGCUAAUAUCUCGUGAAUUUUCUUCUAUUUUGCUACAGCAAAUGCUACAUUUGAAGGUAAAUAUUAUACCUAACUAGUCAUUAGUAUCUAAGUUGUCUUCUUAGGUUAAGUCACUAUUUGGCUAAUUACAUUUAUGUUGUCUUUCUAUUAUGAUAUAACAAGCUUGACUUUUUAGGAUGGGAUUCAAGUGAAAUCAUGAAGAUCAAGCCCAAGGAUCUCAUGAGAGAUCAUUACACUCGAAAGCAUAUAUGAAUGACUAUGUUGCAGGCUUUUCAAGACUACUAUUAGCAUUUGUAAUUCAAGUUUAUAGUAUUGUCCUGAUUUUGUAUGUAUGAUACUUUUAUUGGUAUAUAAUAUAUUAAUAGGUAUUAACUUAUGGCAUUGAUACGUGUCUCUGUGUGUAUAUAUAUAUAUAUAUAUAUAUAUAUAUAUAUAUAUAUAUAUAAUCAACUAAUUUUUUUUUUAAUUUUUUUUCUUUAUUUACUAAAAUUAUAAUCAGCUACAAAUUACAGUAAUCAACUACAAAAUUUUAUUAGAUAAUCAACUAUAUUUUAUUAGGUAACCAACUAUAAUUUUAACGUACGUACAAUUCAAAACAACUAUUUAUUAUAACAAAAACAACUGUUCAAAAUCAUAAUCAACUAUAAAAUCACCGAAAGCAACUACAAAAGUCACCGAAAUCAACUACAAAAUCAUCAAAACCAACUACAAAUUAUUGAAAUCAGCUACAACAAAACAAAUGUAUUUGAACAACAAGGAAAGUAAAAAUAAACUACAUAUCGAAAAAAACUCAAAACCAUAGGUCUUGAAUUAGAUACAUCAAUGUCCAGCUUUUAUUUACAAAAGGUUCGACGAUUUGGAUAUCUGUGUACCAUGAGUGUAUCUCUGUUAUUAUUUUUGUACAGUGACCCCGCCAGUGGUAUUUAUCCAGUUGACUAUUCACCACUGAACAAAACCACCUCCGCCGUGAAAAAUAGGAGAGAGCAAAAAGGGGAUUGAUCAGCGACGAGCGUUUUCGGAAGAUUGGUCCGUCGAACUGUUCUACUGAGCAGUAACUCUGGCGAAUUACUAUCAAAACCCUUCAAUUCACACAACUCCCCUAGGGGCACAAACGUAUUUGUCGGCUUCUUUUCUCUUAUUCCUCUCCGUCCGGUGGCUGUUUAAAAUUAACCUCCUUAUCUACGCUUAUCUCAAUGGAGUCAUAUGAAAUGUCUGCUCAACAUUUUAAUUCCAAUCGAAUCGAUAAAACGUUAUGGCUUUGAAGUGGAUUGACCGAGAAGAGAGGGGGAAAUAGUUGAAUUGUGUCACCAACCCUCAUUAUGAGAGUUGGUAUCUAGCCUUUACCAGUAGGGUAAAGCCUUUACCAAUAGGGUAAAGGUCUAGGUUCGAGUCCCUCACUUCCCUACUUCCCCUUGUACUGAACUUGAAUUUACUCCAAAAAAAGAAAAAAAUGUGUCGCAAGAGAGAGAAGGGGGAGAGUGGAUGAGUGAAUGAUAACGUGUUUCAAGAAGUAGGGCUAAUGAAGUAAAAAAGGUAACUUGGGUAUAUUAGGUAGCAAACGAUUUAUGAUUAAUUUAAGGGUUAAUAUACUAGAGGUACCUAGUUGGAAACAUAAUUAGAUGUGAGAUACAACCCUAAUAUAUUGUUCUGAACUAAAUCAUUUUUACAAAAAUAAAUAUGAUCUAUAUCUUUUACAUUUUUUUAUCCCAAAUUUGCUCUCAACCUAAACCAUAAAUUCUACAGUCACAUUUCUCUCAGAUCUAUUUGUUUUAUUUCUUCCCUCUUCUCUCUCGUCUCGCUCGUUCUCUCUGCUCUCUCUCACAGUACGCUAUCUCUCUCUCUCUCUCUCCCUCUCUCUUUCUCUCGUUCUCUCUCUCUCUCUCUCUCUCUCUCUCUCUCUCUCUCUCUCUCUCUCUCUCUCUCUCUCUCUCUCUCUCUCUCUCUCUCUCUCUCUCUCUCUCUCUCUCUCUCUCUCUCUAUCUCCAUUACUUCACUCCAUUGUUGAGGAGGGAUGGCUAUGGCGACAAUAAGAUGAUGGUUAUGGAGGCAGUUGACGACGACGACUAUGGUGGUGGAGGUCUGAUCUAUGACGGAUGAUGGCGGCUAGGUUUUAAUUUGGUUGACGGCUAUGGCGGUUUAGGGUUUAAUUUGGUCGAGGGCUAUAGUUUAAUUUGGUCGAUGACUAUGGCAGCUAGGGUUUAAUUUGGUCGAAGGCUAGGGUUUAAUUUGGUCGGCGGCUAGGGUUGGUGGACGACUAUGUAUUUGCAGAUUUGGUUUGGUGGCGGCAGCUGAAAUUUGUUGGCUGUUAUGAUUUAACAGAGGCUGGAAGAUGUUGGAAGUUAGGGUUUGGCGGCGGUUGGGAGUUGUUGAAUGAUAAAGUUCAGAAUAGUACACCAAUAAUAUACCGUAGAAUACUAUAGUAUACACUAUACAAUAGCAUAGCAUACCAUAGUAUACCAUAGUACACUAUAGUAUUAUAUUAAAGAUCUGCUGUAUUAUUUGAUAAAAACGAAAAAAAUAUUUUUUUCGUAAUUUUCAAUAAAAUUUUCUAAAAAAAAGUUACUUAUAAUAACGUAAAAAAUGCUAGAGUAAAAACGAAUAAAUAAAGAUGACCAAGUCGGUAAAAAUAAAAUAAAAUAUAUUAUUAGAUGAAAAAAUGAAGAUAUUAAAUGCAUAAUUAAAUGAUAAAAUGCAGUUUGAAUUUAAUUAACACAAAUUCGAAUUUAUGUAUGGAGGGGCAUUUUUUGGAAUGAAUGUAAUAAAAGAUGUGAAACAAAAGUUUAGUUAGGCUUGUGAUCAUUUAGUUCAAAUUAGUAUUGUCACCAGAGACCUAUAUUGUAAUAGCCCUUAGUUUAAAUAUCAAAAGGGAUAUUGGUAAAAGACAAAUAUCAAAUGAGUUGGUAACUUAGUAUUAUGUUCAAAUGUGAUUUGAGGGGUCUUUCUAAUUAACCAAAGAAAUCUAAAAGGGAACAUUACACAUUUCGUCCCUCAAGUUUACCUUGAUUUCACAUUUGGUCCCCCAAGUUCACAAAAAACAAGUUUAGUCCCUCAUAUUUCAAUAAUUUAACACUUUUAGAAUCAAGCAUGUGUGCAUUACUUUCUUAACAGACAGACUAACGUUAAAUUGAAGAAAAUGACAAAAAAAUGUCAAAUUGUUGAAACAUGAGGACCGAAUGUGUGUUUUUAAACAUGGAUGUCCAAAUGUGAAACCAGUGCAAACUUAAGGGAUGAAAACUGUAAUUUUCUCAAAUCUAAAUAUUAGGUUCUCAGCCCAAAUCAUUUAAGUUGUAGGAGAAUUAAAGGGCGGAAAGAUGGGAUGUGCAUUUCAUUUGAAAGGAUAUUCACUAGGCCAACAUGAUAUACACAUUUAUAUACACGCUUCAAUCGGAAACACAUCGCAAAAAAUCGUACCAAGUCAUCGCAAAACUUUGUUUUAUUACAGAAGCUCAAAUAAAUAAUUUAUAUUUUUGACACAACUUUCUUCAUCAUUUCCAGAAGAACAACAUCUUUCUUGGAUCCUUGAAGGUGAUUAAUUAACAUGGACGAAGUAGAUGCGUCGGCUAAGAACCCCUUUUUGUGCAUUUCCUCUAAGAAUGGCAUUGCCUUGUAAACCUCUUUCUUCUUCAGCAAGCCCUGGAUUAUGUUGUUGUAUGUCACGCUAUUCGGUGCACAACCACUUCUCUCCAUUUUUAUAAGCAAAUCUUUUGCUUCCUCUA
rnacentral:lncRNA from 1 species